rnacentral:rRNA from 1 species
GACGAACGCUGGCGGCGCGCUUAACACAUGCAAGUCGAGCGAGAACCGGAGCUUGCUCCGGGGACAGCGGCGAACGGGUGAGUAACACGUGGGUAAUCUGCCCUCGAUUCUGGGAUAGCCCGGGGACACCCGGAUUAAUACCGGAUAGCCUUUCGAGCUCUCGAGCCUGAAAGAAAAGGUAGCUUCGGCCUCCGAUCGAGGAUGAGCCCGCGGCGGAUUAGCUUGUUGGCGGGGAAUGGCCCACCAAGGCGACGAUCCGUAGCUGGUCUGAGAGGACGAUCAGCCACACUGGGACUGAGACACGGCCCAGACUCCUACGGGAGGCAGCAGUGGGGAAUCUUGCGCAAUGGGCGAAAGCCUGACGCAGCGACGCCGCGUGAGGGAAGAAGGCCUGG